AGGAUGAACGCUGGCGGCGUGCUUAACACAUGCAAGUCAUGGGGGCCCAGCAAUGGGCAACCGGCGAACGGGUGCGUAACACGUGAGCAACCUACCCAGGUGUGGGGGAUGGCCGUCCCAACGGACGGGUAAUACCGCAUACGCUCAACACGAGGCAUUUCGAGUUGAGGAAACCUUCGGGGCACCAUGAGGGGCUCGCGGCCUAUCAGCUAGUUGGCGAGGUAACGGCUCACCAAGGCUACGACGGGUAGCUGGUCUGAGAGGAUGACCAGCCACAUUGGGACUGAGAAACGGCCCAGACUCCUACGGGAGGCAGCAGUGGGAAUCUUGCGCAAUGGCCUAACGGCUGACGCAGCGACGCCGCGUGAGGGAUGACGCUCUUCGGAGUGUAAACCUCUUUUUGCCUGGAACGAACUAUCAGCUUCAGCUGAUUUGACGGUACCGGUGAAUAAGCACCGGCUAACUCCGUGCCAGCAGCCGCGGUAA
rnacentral:rRNA from 1 species